UGUUUCCUUGAAUUUUGUCGUACCAAACCUGUUUCGCAAAACAGGGCGAUUCGAGUCGCCUUCCAUCGCAACUUUAGGCCUAUCUCCCCGACUCCUCAAGGAAUUACGAGUAAAAACUUCGGUUAGGCGCACCCACCGAGCACUAUACUCACACGAGCCAAAGUCAUUGGGCGAGACAUCCAACCCUCUCUAUCGCAAUACGAAUACCAUCGGUUCGACAAAAAUUCUAAGAAAAUGACAGAACUUUUGCUCUCACAACUUUACCAUCACAACCACCACCAUCAUAUAUAAAGUCAACCAAAUUCAUUGACCAAUAAUUAAUUAAAAAUACCUAAAUAAUUAAACCAAUCAAUUUUUCACAGUAAAAUAAAAUUAAUAUUUUCCUACUGGCGCACCCCCGUGAAAUUAUUAAUCUCACCCUUCCAUCCACUAGAACCAAUAUUUCUAGUGCACCCCCCCUUUUACUAAAAUCACAACACAUAAUAAAACACACUUUUCCAUGUACCCCUUUUUAUCUUAAAUACACUCCCUCUCAUAAAUCUACCAACCUAAGUGGAUCCCACUAGUCUUUUUAAUUUAAAAUCAAACUUUAUUUUUUUUUCUCUCUCCACGUGGACCCCACUUAAAAUAUUCUUUUCAAAUCAAAACUCUCUUUCUCACUCCUAUUUCCACUUUUACGUAACUCACCUUCCUUUCUCUCAUUCACUUUUUAUUUUAUUUUUUUCAAUUAAACCAAAAUCCACCUCACUCACCUUUCACACCAAAAUUAUCGUGGACCCCACUCCCUUUUCUAGAUCAAUUUUUCUUCUCUUUUCUAAGACUAAAAGGCCAAUCUUUCUCCCAUUCAAUUACCAUUCACGUAAGACUCACACACCCCAUAUUUCACAAUGUCAAACUUCUCUCUCCUUCUUCCAUUUUUUUUUCGUCAAUUUCACACACACACACAACUUCCACUCUUUCUUCCACUUUUGACUUUUCAAACACCCAUCUCUCACUCUCAUUUCUUCUUUUCACGUAAAACCAAGACCUCUUCCAUUUUAUUUAACUUUUCAACCCCAAACUCCACAUCCAUUCCCCCUUUCUUUACGUCCCACCAUGCAACCCAUUCUCCAUCUCUUUCUUUUUUUUUUUUUUUUUCAUCAACCCUUAUUUAACUUAUCCUUCUUUGCUUCCAAAGACCCGUCAAUCUUCCCUCUUCACGGUUGUUGCUCCUCUUGCAGCCCCUUUCUUUUUCUUUGUCAAUUUCAUGUUCUUCCUUCAUGAUCUUAUUAUUCCCAUGCAACCAAGCUUCUUCUUUCUUCACCAUUUCAUCAACCCCAUAUACCCCAUCUCACAAAAACAUCAUUUUCACUCCUCUCAUAUUCAAAACUCAUUCUUUUCUCUUCCAUCAAUGGAAGAGAACUCUCAAUACCCUCCUACCCACACUCUUGGUCAAAGAGUGUAGAUAAGCAUCCCACAAAAUAUUAUAAUUCAUAUAUGGUAAUAAGGAAACAAGAUGCACACAAUAUAACAUGAUUUUAAGUGUACCCAUAAAACUUUUUCAUACACAUACAUCACCCCAAAGUGCCCAAAACAUGUAUACCCAUUUUAACAACAACACUUUUUGAAAAGCCAACAUAUAAAGUUCAAGGUAUACCCAUAAUACAAANNNNNNNNNNNNNNNNNNNNNNNNNNNNNNNNNNNNNNNNNNNNNNNNNNNNNNNNNNNNAUUUUGAAAAUGCAUGAAAAUAAUCAUUCUCCAUACAACAACACAUGGAAACUAAACAUAAAAAGAGAGAGCAUGCAUCAACGUGUUAACUUUAAUCUCAACACAAAAGAAAGAAAACAUGCAUCAACAUUAUCAUGUUACCUUCUACCCAUCAUACACCAUAUUAUAACCCAAGUUAAACCCCUUACCUCUAUUCCAAGCUAGUCUCCAAGGUUCUUAGGUUUAUUUCCUUCUUUAGACUCCAAGUCCUUCACCCUUCUAGGUUCCCUUCAAGUUUCGUCCAACUCCAAAGCUAGGUUGAGUACUUUCUUUCUCUCACCAACUUGGUUGUUUCUCACAAAGAAAUGUUUCUCUCCACUCAACUUACGGCUUUCUCUCUUUCUUUUCCACUCUCUCACCAAGUUUUUAUUACAAUCUCACUAACUUAAAAUUACACACUUAAAUAAAAUCAAUCCUAAACCUUUCUAACCCUUAACCCCCCACUCAAGGUCACUACCAAGGGCAUCCUUAGACCAUUUCAGAUUUUUCCCAUUCCUAACUCCACAUCAACACCCAUAAAACCUUUCUUUAAUGUGUGUAAAUGGUAGGUUUAAAGUGUGCUUAAGUGCCUCCAUAAUACCCAUUUAUGUAGCCUACAAUUUUUAAUGCAGUGAUUAACCUCCUCAAGAAACUCUAAGGUCUCUUACCAAGUUUCCUAAGUCUAGAAAAUAAGUGCCCAACCAUGCAAAGUGGAAAAAGAAAUAAAACCCAUAGGACCAAUGCAAUCUUCUUAACGUAAAUGAGAAAGAAAAGUAACUGAAUGGAAGGCAACUCUCCUCCUCUGGACCGUUUCACUAAGACACCCAACUUUUGCUUUAAGUUUGACUUUUCAACCAUUCAAAAUGAAACAUAUAAAAUGAACUAAAAGAAAUAGAUGCUGCAACCCUUAAAAUGACGUGAAAGAGAACUAAAUUCUCCACUUCUCUUACAAAAUACAUGCACAAAUAUAUUAAAACACACCUUUCUCUCUCAUCAUUUAAUGCAUGAAACCCAUCAAGGAAUGGAGCAAAUAACCUCCUUCACGUACCACACCAACAAUUUCACGAUACUACCCAUAAUUCAUGGCCACAUGCAAUUGAUUUCAUCUUUCUUACCUCAUGGUGAGACCCACACGCCAAGGUGGAAAAUUAAAAAAGAGCUAGGAGCCUUUUUUUUGUCUUGGGAGGGUUAGAAUUUAAGACCAAGCACACAACCC
rnacentral:lncRNA from 1 species